GACGAACGCUGGCGGCGUGCUUAACACAUGCAAGUCGAGCGGAAAGGCCCUUCGGGGUACUCGAGCGGCGAACGGGUGAGUAACACGUGAGUAACCUGCCCCAGACUUUGGGAUAACCCUCGGAAACGGGGGCUAAUACCGGAUACGACACAGCUUUGCAUGGGGUCUGUGUGGAAAGUUUUUCGGUUUGGGUUGGGCUCGCUGCCUAUCAGCUCGUUGGUGGGGUGAUGGCCUACCAAGGCGCCGGCGGGUAGCCGGCCUGGGAGGGCGACCGGCCACACUGGGACUGAGACACGGCCCAGACUGCUACGGGAGGCAACAGUGGAGAGUAUUGCACAAUGGGCGGAAGCGUGAUGCAGCGACGCCGCGUGAGGGAUGACGGCCUUCGGGUGGUAAACCUCUUUCAGCAGGGACGAAGCGUAAGUGACGGUACCUGCAGAAGAAGCGCCGGCCAACUACGUG
rnacentral:rRNA from 1 species